rnacentral:rRNA from 1 species
UACGUAGGCAGCGAGCGUUGUUCGGAGUUACUGGGCGUAAAGAGUGCGUAGGCGGUUUUCUAAGUUUGGUGUGAAAUCUCCCGGCUCAACUGGGAGGGUGCGCCGAAGACUGGAAGGCUUGAGUAUGGGAGAGGUAAGCGGAAUUCCUGGUGUAGCGGUGAAAUGCGUAGAUAUCAGGAGGAACACCUGCGGUGUAGACGGCUUACUGGACCAUAACUGACGCUGAGGCACGAAAGCUAGGGUAGCGAACGGG